rnacentral:rRNA from 1 species
UAAACGAUGAGUGCUAAAUGUGAGGAUUUUAUCUUUGUAUUGUAGCUAACGCGUUAAGCACUCCGCCUGGGGACUACGGUCGCAAGACUAAAACUCAAAGGAAUUGACGGGGACCCGCACAAGCGGUGGAGCAUGUGGUUUAAUUCGAUGCUACGCGAAAAACCUUACCACUUUUUGACAUGAAGGUCGUAUCCCUCCUAACAGGGGGAGUCAGUUCGGCUGGACCUUACACAGGUGCUGCAUGGUUGUCGUCAGCUCGUGUCGUGAGAUGUUGGGUUAAGUCCCGCAACGAGCGCAACCCUCAUUCUUAGUUACCAACAGGUAAUGCUGGGCACUCUAAGGAAACUGCCAGUGAUAAACUGGAGGAAGGUGGGGAUGAUGUC